rnacentral:lncRNA from 1 species
CCCGAGGCAGCUCCUGACCUUUCUCCUGCCGCUGCUCGAUAAAGCUUUCCCGGGUUCCUGAGGGCGGGGGCUGACCUUUGUUAAGAUAAGCAGGUGUGUGAUUAGGGUCCUUGAACGGCGCCCCGCCCCGACAGAGACCCACUGGAGACUCAAACAGCUGCUGGGGUGUUAGAUUGAACCAAAUGAAACUGCCACUUUUGUGGUUCGAAGACUUGAAUAUCGGCAGCUUCGUAAGAUUCCGAUUGUGAGAAGUUACUUCUUCUUUUUCUUUUCUCACUCAUUUGUGAGUUUCCAAUUUCAAUAUCCUCGGAGCAGUCCUGUCUGUCAGCGCGAUCGGAAACCCCAUUUUACAGAUGAGCAAAGGAAAGGAUGGAGAAUGCAAGCAACUGCUCGCUGUCACCGAGUUAAUAAGUGGGACUAGGCCAUCCCUGCCUGCCUCAAAGCCCGGAAUGCUGUCUCUUCAGCAGUGCCUUUUUGUUUUGUUUUCGUCAUGUGUCUCAUAAUUUUUUUAUGAACUUCCUCAUGAUUUCCUUGCUGAACUAUUUCUGUGCAUCCUAGUGCAGUGAAGUUAAUACGUGCAUCAAAGGACAGGUUGAAAAUAAGAAAACUUUAAACCAAAUAUUGUUUUGUUGGUACCAUUUAAAAUAUGAAGGAAAUAGGUUUUUCAGGGGCCCAGGAACUACCUCUGAGAUUUGUUAAGAGUCAGGAUGUUUUGUUGCAAUGAUAGAAGCCAGCUCUGGGUAAUUUCAGCAGAAAGGGACUGGGUACUGGGUGGCUUGCAGAAGUGACAGGAAGGCUGGCUAGCCAGGCUCAGGAGCCCAAGGGAGCGGGACUCAGGACCUGUAACAGGACCCCUGGUUGGUGUAUGGCCAUAGCUGCCACCACGAGAGUCUGGAUGUGGCUGCUGGCACUGUCGCCAUCACUGCUAGAAUGAAUCAGAAAUUGCCUCUGCUUGAGUGUCCUCCAUGCGCAAGCCCAGAAGUAAGCAUGUGAUUGGCUCAGCUUGACUCACCCCCCAAGGCACAGUGUGGGCACCUGAGCUGGGCUCGCAUGAGAGGCAGGGCUGCAGUCCACCAGACUCACAAAGGUAGCUCAGAAACUGGGCGGCUCCGUCGCACCCUUCUCCCCGCAAAAAUAACCCAGAUGACAAACAUCUACUACAAAGGUCCC